UACUCGAGUGGCGAACGGGUGAGUAACACGUGGGUGAUAUGCCCUGCACUUCGGGAUAAGCUUGGGAAACUGGGUCUAAUACCGGAUAGGAGCCAUCUUUAGUGUGGUGGUUGGAAAGUUUUUUCGGUGUAGGAUGAGCUCGCGGCCUAUCAGCUUGUUGGUGGGGUAAUGGCCUACCAAGGCGGCGACGGGUAGCCGGCCUGAGAGGGUGUACGGCCACAUUGGGACUGAGAUACGGCCCAG
rnacentral:rRNA from 1 species